rnacentral:lncRNA from 1 species
AUGCACACAUGCACAACUUCACAGACACGCACACACCAUACAAAUGCACACACAUGCAUGCCCUCACAGAUACAUGCACACAUGCACAAAGAUGCACAACUUCACAGACAUGUACACACAAACAUGCAUGCCUUCACAGACACAUACACAUGCACAUAUAUGCACACAUUCACAGACACAUGCACACACAAACACAUGACUUCACAGACAGAUGCACACACAUACACGUGCACACAUGCAUGCCUUCACAGACUCAUGCACACAUGCAUGCCUUCACAGACACAUGCACACAUGCAUGCCUUCACAGACACAUGCACACAUGCAUGCCUUCACAGACUCAUGCACACAUGCAUGCCUUCACAGACUCAUGCACACAUGCAUGCCUUCACAGACUCAUGCACACAUGCAUGCCUUCACAGACUCAUGCACACAUGCAUGCCUUCACAGACUCAUGCACACAUGCAUGCCUUCACAGACUCAUGCACACAUGCAUGCCUUCACAGACUCAUGCACACAUGCAUGCCUUCACAGACUCAUGCACACAUGCAUGCCUUCACAGACUCAUGCACACAUGCAUGCCUUCACAGACUCAUGCACACAUGCAUGCCUUCACAGACUCAUGCACACAUGCAUGCCUUCACAGACUCAUGCACACAUGCAUGCCUUCACAGACUCAUGCACACAUGCAUGCCUUCACAGACUCAUGCACACAUGCAUGCCUUCACAGACUCAUGCACACAUGCAUGCCUUCACAGACUCAUGCACACAUGCAUGCCUUCACAGACUCAUGCACACAUGCAUGCCUUCACAGACUCAUGCACACAUGCAUGCCUUCACAGACUCAUGCACACAUGCAUGCCUUCACAGACUCAUGCACACAUGCAUGCCUUCACAGACUCAUGCACACAUGCAUGCCUUCACAGACUCAUGCACACAUGCAUGCCUUCACAGACUCAUGCACACAUGCAUGCCUUCACAGACUCAUGCACACAUGCAUGCCUUCACAGACUCAUGCACACAUGCAUGCCUUCACAGACUCAUGCACACAUGCAUGCCUUCACAGACUCAUGCACACAUGCAUGCCUUCACAGACUCAUGCACACAUGCAUGCCUUCACAGACUCAUGCACACAUGCAUGCCUUCACAGACUCAUGCACACAUGCAUGCCUUCACAGACUCAUGCACACAUGCAUGCCUUCACAGACACAUGCACACACAUGCCUUCAUAGACACACAAACACAUACACAACUUCACAGACACGUCAAACACAAACACGCCCACACAGAGACACAGGCGCUCACACACACAUCCACUGUAGUAAAAUGAUGUUGAGAUUAGGCAAGCAAAGCAUUACGUUAAAUUCUCCAAAUUUUGUGCCUCAAGCUAUAUUUUGCUUUAAAAAUGUAAACAUGUAA